rfam:Beta vulgaris subsp. vulgaris chromosome 5, whole genome shotgun sequence.
AAUUGGCAUUUGAUGAAACUUUUAUAUGCGUCUGAUUUUCAAUGAUGCUAAAUAUUUUCACCUUGGAGAACUGAUGCCAAUA